UCGAGUUUUGAAAGUGGGACCUUUGAUGCUGGUUUCGACAUGUGCUCAAGGUCUCCGCUCAAAUCCACUCAACCCCUGUGCACUAAUUCGAAGCUUUUGCGGUCCUCCUGUAAAGGAGCAGCUCCCUCUCCAACGAGGUUGAGCCGGGGCUUGCGAGGCUUCGAGCCUUUCACACAAACAACUUUAUUGUCAUGUAGAAUGUAUAAAUUGAAAAGUA
rnacentral:misc_RNA from 1 species